GCUGGGGUAGCUCAGUUGGUUUGAGUGUGUCUUUUAAAGCACAAGGUCAAAGGUACAAUUCCUUCCUCUAGCA